CUGCAGUCGAGCGGUAGCACAGGGGAGCUUGCUCCCUGGGUGACGAGCGGCGGACGGGUGAGUAAUGUCUGGGAAACUGCCUGAUGGAGGGGGAUAACUACUGGAAACGGUAGCUAAUACCGCAUAACGUCGCAAGACCAAAGAGGGGGACCUUCGGGCCUCUUGCCAUCAGAUGUGCCCAGAUGGGAUUAGCUAGUAGGUGGGGUAAUGGCUCACCUAGGCGACGAUCCCUAGCUGGUCUGAGAGGAUGACCAGCCACACUGGAACUGAGACACGGUCCAGACUCCUACGGGAGGCAGCAGUGGGGAAUAUUGCACAAUGGGCGCAAGCCUGAUGCAGCCAUGCCGCGUGUGUGAAGAAGGCCUUCGGGUUGUAAAGCACUUUCAGCGAGGAGGAAGGUGGUGAACUUAAUACGCUCAUCAAUUGACGUUACUCGCAGAAGAAGCACCGGCUAACUCCGUGCC
rnacentral:rRNA from 1 species